UACAGGGGGGGCAAGCGUUGUUCGGAAUUACUGGGCGUAAAGCGUGCGCAGGCGGUGAUGUAAGACAGGUGUGAAAUCCCCGGGCUUAACCUGGGAACUGCAUUUGUGACUGCAUCGCUGGAGUGCGGCAGAGGGGGAUGGAAUUCCGCGUGUAGCAGUGAAAUGCGUAGAUAUGCGGAGGAACACCGAUGGCGAAGGCAAUCCCCUGGGCCUGCACUGACGCUCAUGCACGAAAGCGUGGGGAGCAAACAGG
rnacentral:rRNA from 1 species